UGACGAACCCUUAACCGGGUUUUCUCUUCGGAGCAGGAGAGACAGGUGGUGCAUGGUUGUCGUCAGCUCGUGUCGUGAGAUGUUGGGUUAAGUCCCGCAACGAGCGCAACCCCUUAUUCUUAGUAGCCAGCGGUUCGGCCGGGCACUCUAGGGAGACUGCCAGGGAUAACCUGGAGGAAGGUGGGGAUGACGUCAAAUCAUCAUGCCCCUUAUGACUUGGGCUACACACGUGCUACAAUGGCGUAAACAAAGGGAAGCAAUCCCGCGAGGGGGAGCAAAUCUCAAAAAUAACGUCUCAGUUCGGACUGUAGUCUGCAACUCGACUACACGAAGCUGGAAUCGCUAGUAAUCGCGAAUCAGA
rnacentral:rRNA from 1 species